GAUGAACGCUGGCGGCGUGCCUAAUACAUGCAAGUCGAGCGAACAGACGAGGAGCUUGCUCCUCUGACGUUAGCGGCGGACGGGUGAGUAACACGUGGAUAACCUACCUAUAAGACUGGGAUAACUUCGGGAAACCGGAGCUAAUACCGGAUAAUAUAUUGAACCGCAUGGUUCAAUAGUGAAAGACGGUUUUGCUGUCACUUAUAGAUGGAUCCGCGCCGCAUUAGCUAGUUGGUAAGGUAACGGCUUACCAAGGCGACGAUGCGUAGCCGACCUGAGAGGGUGAUCGGCCACACUGGAACUGAGACACGGUCCAGACUCCUACGGGAGGCAGCAGUAGGGAAUCUUCCGCAAAGGGCGAAAGCCUGACGGAGCAACGCCGCGUGAGUGAUGAAGGUCUUCGGAUCGUAAAACUCUGUUAUUAGGGAAGAACAAAUGUGUAAGUAACUAUGCACGUCUUGACGGUACCUAAUCAGAAAGCCACGGCUAACUACGUA
rnacentral:rRNA from 1 species